rnacentral:rRNA from 1 species
GGAGGGGUGCAAGCGUUAUCCGGAUUAUUGGGUUUAAAGGGUCCGUAGGCGGAUCUGUAAGUCAGUGGUGAAAUCUCACAGCUUAACUGUGAAACUGCCAUUGAUACUGCAGGUCUUGAGUAAAUUUGAAGUGGCUGGAAUAAGUAGUGUAGCGGUGAAAUGCAUAGAUAUUACUUAGAACACCAAUUGCGAAGGCAGGUCACUAAGAUUUAACUGACGCUGAUGGACGAAGGCGUGGGGAGCGAACAGGAUUAGAUACCCUGGUAGUCCACGCCGUAAACGAUGCUAACUCGUUUUUGGGGUUUCGGCUUCAGAGACUAAGCGAAAGUGAUAAGUUAGCCACCUGGGGAGUACGUUCGCAAAGAAUG